GGAUUAUGACUCAGUGGUAGAGUGCUUGCCUCGCAUGCGUGAGGCACUGGGUUUGACCCUCAGCACCA
rnacentral:tRNA from 1 species